AUGACUUGGUUUAUUGAACCAAUAUUUUGUGGGAUUAUCUUGUCACGUUAUUACACUCAUGAGAAGGAUUAUUUUUUUUACCAGUCUAAAAGGAGUCAUGUUCUUGUCUGGUGGUGGUUGUGUAAUUGAAGUAAAAAAAAAAAAAAAAAAAAAAAACUCAUUGAAGUAGAGAACAGCAAAGUCUUGAAGGCGAAAUAUUUCUAUUCAAAAUCGGAAAAACCUUGGUUACUUUAUGCAUACAGCAGUUUGAACAGACUGCCUCGAAUGGGUGUCAUCUUUCAUCUUUAACUUGUCAGGUCCUCCCCACCCCAACACAACUCCCCUGGCUCCACCUUGGACUUCCAUAAUGUCGGAGCAUGGAGACUGUGGGGAGAGAUGAAAAUUGGACUCAGUUUAACGACUUGCUUCAGGUGAUAUAACCAGAAAAUGAAGAAAUCAUAUUUGAGCCCAGAUUUUGUGAUUUUUAGAAAAGAUUCUAAUAACACAAGAAUG
rnacentral:lncRNA from 1 species